rnacentral:hammerhead_ribozyme from 1 species
AUUCAGCUGACGAAUCCCAAAUGGGACGAAAAAUGCGUCCUGGAU